CAAUUUAAACAACGAAGAGUUUGAUCCUGGCUCAGGAUGAACGCUAGCGACAGGCUUAACACAUGCAAGUCGAGGGGCAGCACAGGUAGCAAUACCGGGUGGCGACCGGCGCACGGGUGAGUAACGCGUAUGCAACUUACCUAUCAGAGGGGGAUAACCCGGCGAAAGUCGGACUAAUACCGCAUGAAGCAGGGGCCCCGCAUGGGGAUAUUUGCUAAAGAUUCAUCGCUGAUAGAUAGGCAUGCGUUCCAUUAGGCAGUUGGCGGGGUAACGGCCCACCAAACCGACGAUGGAUAGGGGUUCUGAGAGGAAGGUCCCCCACAUUGGUACUGAGACACGGACCAAACUCCUACGGGAGGCAGCAGUGAGGAAUAUUGGUCAAUGGGCGUAAGCCUGAACCAGCCAAGUCGCGUGAGGGAUGAAGGUUCUAUGGAUCGUAAACCUCUUUUAUAAGGGAAUAAAGUGCGGGACGUGUCCCGUUUUGUAUGUACCUUAUGAAUAAGGAUCGGCUAACUCCGUGCCAGCAGCCGCGGUAAUACGGAGGAUCCGAGCGUUAUCCGGAUUUAUUGGGUUUAAAGGGUGCGUAGGCGGCCUUUUAAGUCAGCGGUGAAAGUCUGUGGCUCAACCAUAGAAUUGCCGUUGAAACUGGGGGGCUUGAGUAUGUUUGAGGCAGGCGGAAUGCGUGGUGUAGCGGUGAAAUGCUUAGAUAUCACGCAGAACCCCGAUUGCGAAGGCAGCCUGCCAAGCCAUGACUGACGCUGAUGCACGAAAGCGUGGGGAUCAAACAGGAUUAGAUACCCUGGUAGUCCACGCAGUAAACGAUGAUCACUAGCUGUUUGCGAUACAGUGUAAGCGGCACAGCGAAAGCGUUAAGUGAUCCACCUGGGGAGUACGCCGGCAACGGUGAAACUCAAAGGAAUUGACGGGGGCCCGCACAAGCGGAGGAACAUGUGGUUUAAUUCGAUGAUACGCGAGGAACCUUACCCGGGUUUGAACGCAUUCGGACCGAGGUGGAAACACCUUUUCUAGCAAUAGCCGUUUGCGAGGUGCUGCAUGGUUGUCGUCAGCUCGUGCCGUGAGGUGUCGGCUUAAGUGCCAUAACGAGCGCAACCCUUGCCACUAGUUACUAACAGGUAAAGCUGAGGACUCUGGUGGGACUGCCAGCGUAAGCUGCGAGGAAGGCGGGGAUGACGUCAAAUCAGCACGGCCCUUACAUCCGGGGCGACACACGUGUUACAAUGGCGUGGACAAAGGGAAGCCACCUGGCGACAGGGAGCGAAUCCCCAAACCACGUCUCAGUUCGGAUCGGAGUCUGCAACCCGACUCCGUGAAGCUGGAUUCGCUAGUAAUCGCGCAUCAGCCAUGGCGCGGUGAAUACGUUCCCGGGCCUUGUACACACCGCCCGUCAAGCCAUGGGAGCCGGGGGUACCUGAAGUCCGUAACCGCGAGGAUCGGCCUAGGGUAAAACUGGUGACUGGGGCUAAGUCGUAACAAGGUAGCCGUACCGGAAGGUGCGGCUGGAACACCUCCUUUCU
rnacentral:rRNA from 1 species